AUUUUGCCUGUGAAGUAUGGCUAUAAUUCAUAAUUCUCGGUUCUACUUCUUUUUGGAAGUAUCUGAUUUACACCGACAUCAAGACAAAAAGAAAAAGAGGAAGAGGAGGAGGGAGAAGAAGAAGAAGAGUUAGACGGGAACAACUUGAUGCUCGAUUCGAACAGAAACGAUCCCAGGGGUAUUGUUCCUGCUGCAGUUUGGGGUUUUGAGUGAUU